UCUAAGCAGCAGUAUCCCUACUGGAAAGUGAGGAAAUAUUAUGGGCAAAUAUGAGCAGUGCUUGUCCAACUUUUCUAUAGAUGUUUCCAUAGAUGUUUCAGACCCUAGCUGUUCUGCUUACUGCAUUUCUAAGCCCUUCCAGAAGACUGUGUUGAGAUCUCCAGCUUCUCCUCUUCUGGGAGGACUCCCUGUCUCCUUUGCCUUAAGAGCAGAUCUAUGCCCUCAUCUUUGCAAAAUAGCAAGCAUAGCCCAGACAGGAGCUGGGAGAAGGUUAACCUGCUAUGGAAGAGUGGACCUGUUCCCGCCCUGAAGAGGCUUGAUUAAUUAUCUGGACAAAGCAGCUCUUACCUGAGUAUAAGAGACAACUGUCCUAGGGCCUUGCUAUCACUUCUAAGACUAAAAGAAACAUCAGCCACAUAGAGCAUGGCACCAAGAGGAAGAAGGCAAAGUGGCCAUCAAGAGAGGAAAUGCUGUAUGUUGGAUUAUGCAACAGCCCAGUAUGCACCAUCAGUCUUGUUUAGAUCCUUCAUCAAUGGUGGAAACAGCUGAUGAUUUAUUGUGAUAGACAAGUCACAACAUUAUUAGCUCUGACUAGCUAACAGGGUGAAUAGUGGUACUCAGGAAAAACAGCUACUGUAUAAAAGAGCAAUCUGAUAUUCUGAAUGUAUGUGCACAGCUAAUCAUGUGGAGGGGAUCCUCUGGUGACACAUGCAACACUUACUGGGAAUGAGCAGAGGUUUAAUAAGUUGUAGCCAAAACUAUACUUCAGAUAUCACAGCUAGGAAGCUGCUAUGGAAAUGCGAAGCAUGUGUGAGGGGGAGUUUGUGUAAGUUCCUGAAAUAAUUUCAAUUAAAUAAUUACUAUAAACAGAAGUUGUAUUGAUUAAGUUCUUAAUGGAAAAAUGGUAUAUUCACACAAAACUACUUUUCCAAGACAAUAUGCAACCUUUUCCAAGACAACAUCCCUCACUUCCGACUAUCUUCAAUAUCAUAAUUUAUUUUAAAGGCUAUAUAUGUAAUGGAAUAAUUACAUGUCUGCAAAUGCAUGCUGAUAGUGACUCUGUAGCUUUGAAACAUCUUUUCAUACUUCUUCUGUUUUGUACUAUACAAAGGCCCCUUUUUCUUUGUUCAAAUAAUUGAUUUAUAACCACAUAAAAUAGAAAUAGCUGGCAAAAGCUCACUUUUAAUUAUACUGAUGAGCAUUCUCCAAAUCUCCUCCAGUUCUUCAUAUAAUAAUUAUAGUUUGUCAUCCUAAUACCAAUGAGUACGUGGUCCUUCUAAAGAGAUCCAGAACUAGCACUCUGCCUGAACGCUCUCCUAGCAGAGUAAAUGUCUUUUUUCUUCUCUCCUAUUUUGGGCUAAUAUGAAUGAACACUAUAAAAAGCUAAGGCUUGUGUUAGUGGAAGUGGCAACCCUUUUCACAGUUAUUAGAACUGUGAUAUAUAAAUGGAAUUUAUGCCUCUUCCUCAGUGAAAAUAAAUUAUUUUGGGGUUUUUGAAUAAUCGUCAGAAUUGGACUCAGUAAAAGGAUUUUUGUUUUGACUGAGACUUAGCUCUGUUUUUAAUCAGGCUUAGACUUCUUAUUGGCUUCCCAUUCAUGUGGCUCAUAUUUAACUCCUUAGUACAGGAAGAAAGCUCUGGAAUUUUCCAGAGGCUAAAAUGAAACCGUCCCUUAACACUGGAGAAUGACACAAAGCUAUAUGAAGUAGUGCUGUUCAAUAAUUCAGAAUCCCAUAAACAUGCAAAUUAGCUGCAUACACAGAAAUGGCUCACCACUGAGCUCUUUGCGCACCUCAGCAACACUGUCUUCUGCAUGUAGAUUUGCCCCUCCAUAGAAAUGCAUGGCUAGAUAUGCUGCUGCUAUCACUCCAGUUCUGUGCCCUUGCAGGCAGCACUGUCUUCAGUGCUAGAUACCAGAAUAACAUGGCAGUGAAUUGCACCAGCCACUAAAGACAAGCUUAAAAUCUUAUUACUACCACAUCAGGCUGAUGCACUAAAUUUAAGCAGAGGUUUUGUUUUGUAUAUUCACCAAAGAUUAUCAAGAUUGUUUCAGGAUGUAAGUCCUGCUGCCUAAUACAGAACUACUCAGACUCUACCCUAUGCUGAGGUUUGACACAAAACAGUGUAACAAGAGGAGUGCACUUGAACAUAGUGAGAUAGACCAUAGACUGGCUUGGCUUGGCUUCCAGAAGGCUGCUUCAGGCCCAUGGUUUGGGGCUUUGCCUAUGGAAACUCAGUCACUACCAGAUCUGCAGGUAUCUGGCAUGAAUGACACCUAUGAUUGGAAGUGGAAUGGCUUCCUAGAUGGAAAGGACAACAAAGAGAACUAGAAAUGCAGAACCUGACACAGGCUACUUGGUGGCAUACACAAGAAUAAAUUUUGCCCUUCUUUGAUGUGUCAGAGCUUAGCUGCUUCUCCUGUGGCAGGGGAAGAGCAGAAGAAAAGGACAGGACCACUUGGAGAGCUGACUCUAAUGCCUCGGGUGUCAGAUAGGAAUAGACACCAUUGUUUCAGGGGAAAUUGGAUUUCCCCAUUUCAUUUCCAAACACACACAUGUGC